rnacentral:rRNA from 1 species
CCUACGGGACGCAGCAGUGAGGAAUAUUGGUCAAUGGCCGGAAGGCUGAACCAGCCAAGCCGCGUGAAGGACGAAGGUGCCAAGCAUUGUAAACUUCUUUUGUCAAGGGACAAAAUCAGGCUCGAGAGCCUGAUCGAGGUUACUUGAAGAAAAAGCAUCGGCUAACUCCGUGCCAGCAGCCGCGGUAAUACGGAGGAUGCGAGCGUUAUCCGGCUUUAUUGGGUUAAAAGGGUGCGUAGGCGGGCUGUUAAGUCAUCGGUAAAAGCACGGGGCUCAACCCCGGCGAGCCGUUGAAACUGGCUGUCUUGAGAUGUCUAGAGGUAUGCGGAAUGCGCAGUGUAGCGGUGAAAUGCUUAGAUAUUGCGCAGAACUCCGAUUGCGAAGGCAGCAUACCGGCGGCGAUCUGACGCUGAGGCACGAAAGCGUGGGUAUCGAACAGGAUUAGAUACCCGGGUAGUC